ensembl:lncRNA
GUAGCAUACCAGUUACAGAUGUAUAUUGUUUAGCACUAAGACAAGUCAAUACAGCUUUAAUUCACAAAGUGUAGUAAUCUGAGUGUACUAACCCGAGUGAACUAACCCGAGUGAACUAACCCGAGUGUAGUAACCCGAGUGUAGAAUCUGAGUGUAGUAAUCUGAGUGUAGUAAUCUGAGUGUAGUAACCCGAGUGUAGUAAUCUGAGUGUAUUAAUCUGAGUGUAGUAAUCUGAGUGUAGUAAUCUGAGUGUACUAACCUGAGUGUAGUAAUCCGAGUGUAGUAAUCCGAGUGUAGUAACCCGAGUGUAGUAACCCGGUUGUAGUAAUCCGAGUGUAGUAAUCCGAGUGUACUAACCUGAGUGUAUAAAUUCGAGUGUAGUAAUCCGAGUGUAGUAACCCGAGUGUAGUAAUCCGAGUGUACUAACCCGAGUGUACUAACCCGAGUGUACUAACCCGAGUGUAGUAACCCGAGUGUAGUAACCCGAGUGUACUAACCCGAGUGUACUAACCCGAGUGUACUAACCCGAGUGUAGUAACCCGAGUGUAGUAACCCGAGUGUACUAACCCGAGUGUAGUAACCCGAGUGUAGUAACCCGAGUGUAGUAACCCGAGUGUACUAACCCGAGUGUAGUAACCCGAGUGUAGUAACCCGAG